rnacentral:lncRNA from 1 species
AAGGUCCCUGAGGUUUGCUGUCACAGUUGGCUGUUUGGCAGGGAUCUGACCUGUCAUUUGGAAGAACAAGGUUCUUAAAUUCCAGAGGUCAUCUGGGAAUAGUGUCCAAGCAUUCCCAGUUUCCUUCCCUAGAGAUCAAACUCAGGGCCUUGUGCACUCGAGGCAAAUGAACCAAAGACCUGUGACCAGAGAAAUGCUCAGACAGACAUAGCAAGGCCUGCCCUGUGGUCACUAGAAGCAGACACACACCAGGAAGGUUAAGAAGGCUUGACCUGACGAAAGAACAGAAACUCAUUGACUAUAUACACAAUGUAAGAAUGAACGCAAAUCAUCACUGACAAGGAACCAGAACCUUACCCUCACCUAACAACUGUGCCACCCUCCAAGCAGAGCCAUUGUUCAUUGAAACAGUUGAUGAACGACUUCAUGGAUAGACCAUCGUAAUGCACACACCAUUUCUUAUAUGAAUGUAACCUGUUCCUGCGGGCUGAGAAUGAAGACAAUCACUCAAGUCAAAUAGCUUUGACCAAAGAAGGAAAUCUGUAUCCAAAAAUUGUGCCUACAAUUCAUUCCUUGGCACUGCAGAACUGUCAAGUCUUAGCUUAUCUACUGUGGAGGUAAAAUCCUCCAUAGUAGAGAAUGUGAGGGACAUUCAAGUACAGCCUUAUUACAAUGAACUCCAAUGUCCAAAAAUUGUUCUUAUUUUGGGUUUGUACCACCAAAAGAGCCAAGAUUUUAAGCUCUACUAAAAACAAAACAAAACAAACAAACAAACAAAAUGACUUUAUCUAUUCAUGUUCAUUAAAAAAACUAAUAGUGAUAUAUUAUUUUAAAAUAUAUAGUUAAUAUAGUUGGAGUUACUUAAAAUUUAUAUUGAGAA